AUUGAACGCUGGCGGCAUGCCUUACACAUGCAAGUCGAACGGCAGCAUGAUCUAGCUUGCUAGAUUGAUGGCGAGUGGCGAACGGGUGAGUAAUACAUCGGAACGUGCCCUGUAGUGGGGGAUAACUAGUCGAAAGAUUAGCUAAUACCGCAUACGACCUGAGGGUGAAAGUGGGGGACCGCAAGGCCUCAUGCUAUAGGAGCGGCCGAUGUCUGAUUAGCUAGUUGGUGAGGUAAAGGCUCACCAAGGCGACGAUCAGUAGCUGGUCUGGGAGGACGAUCAGCCACACUGGGACUGAGACACGGCCCAGACUCCUACGGGAGGCAGCAGUGGGGAAUUUUGGACAAUGGGCGAAAGCCUGAUCCAGCAAUGCCGCGUGUGUGAAGAAGGCCUUCGGGUUGUAAAGCACUUUUGUCCGGAAAGAAAUGGCUCUGGUUAAUACCUGGGGUCGAUGACGGUACCGGAAGAAUAAGGACCGGCUAACUACGUG
rnacentral:rRNA from 1 species